CACCUGAAACUUCACAAUGUUAUGAACUAUUAUGACAUCAAUUAAAAAAAAGAAAAGCCACACCCAAUCUGUUUCACUGUCCAUCCCAUCUUGCUGACAAGAGCUUACUGAUCCUCAAAUGGAGAAAGGAUUGUGAGGGUCACACUGGUCCUCACUCCCUCAAAGAAGAACAAUUUCAGGAAGUGUCCUAGAAGACCUCUCCUUUGUCUCAUGGAGAAAAUUAUGAAGCUGAAAUCAAAUUACGUUCACCAAGAAAACUCAGUAUUCCUGGAAGUUUAGAGGAGAGUCUGACCCGAAUCCUAGGGAGAUCCCGAAAUUUCUAGCAAGGUGAGCAAUAUUUGACAGUUUACUCUUCAAGAAAGGAAUAAGGAUGAAGACAAGAACUACAAUCAGUUCUACCAACUAGAAUUGGAACCGUGAACUCUCCCCAAAAAUGAUAUCCCAAACUCAGUUAAUUAAUACCUAGAGACACCAGGUCUCACCAGCCUGUGGAUACAAAUGAAGUCAUGCUAAUGUUAAAUAAUGCUUUGUUCCCUUUGUUGUCAUACUCUUCUUUACACCCUAAAAGUUUCACUCAAAUAGUUCUGGGAAUUUCCAAAAAGGUACGUUACAUGUACGUGCUCACACAGCUCUUUGCUAGCCACGCUCAUCACACAGCGUCUAUCUUGUCUUUCUUCUCCUGUUCUGACUCCACACUGCCUGCAAAAUAACCCUAAAGGGCCUCUCUCUUGCCUCUGCUUAUUGUAGCCAUUUUGGGAUCAGCAGUGCCUGUGCCAAGGAGACUAUUUUUUAAUGCAUACCAAACUAUCAGGUCUCCAGGCGAGGCUAGACUUUGGCUCAGUGAGAACAAAUGCCUUACCAUGACAAAGGUUUAUUUCUCACUGACACAGAAUCUAAUAAAGAGCUGGGCAACCCUUUAGGGCAGCUAUUUUCCAUGUAGUAACUGAGUGAUUUAGGCUGAGGAAGCUUUCAUAGUCCUGUAGCUGUCCCAUCAGGAGCAGGAAACCUCCCUGAUUAAUGCAGGAGGCUUAAAGAGACACUCACCAGAUAGAGGACUUAAUGGUUACUCGCUAGCUCUCCUCUGCUUCCAAGUGCAGGUGGUCAGAGCCAUGGCUCCACUCAACUGGAAGAGGGCCCAAAGGUGCAGAGAGCUCUUUCAUGUGUGUGAAAGGGGAGAAGAAGAGAUUUUGGUGAACACUAGUAAUAUCUACGUUACAGAUCACAGGUUUACAGGUUUACAGGUCAGUCCUGGGUUCUAUGAAAAACUGGAAACAAGGGCCCUCUCUCCAGCUCUGUGCUCUGUUUUGUCACCUGAUCUUGGAAUCAGUACUGCCUAUGCCCAGAGUCCCUAAAACUUUCUCAUGAGUAAGCGCUAGUCCUAAUUUCUCUUUCUAAAGGAGCUUCAACAUCCUCCAAGAAGGGAGGUGAGGAGGGAAUGCUGUGCCAUCUCUCCCAUUCUGACUCAUUUUUUUUCUUUUUCAUGACAAAUUUACAUAUACCCCUUUUUUCCCAAUCCUCCUUCAGACUGUCUGACUUGUUUACUGCUGUAUCAUAAAGUUAAAGCCCAGUACCUGGAACUCAGAAAUGUGUUAAUGAGUAGAUUAACAGAUGAGUGGAUAAAUGGAUGGAUGGAUGGAAUGGAUAGAUGGGUGGAUGGAUGGAUGGAUGAGUGGUUGGAUGGAUGGAUGGACAGAUGGAUGGAUGAAUGGGUGGAUGGGUGAAUGACGGUUUCCUCUCUAUCCACAGAUGAAGCUCAAGGGGAGCCUGUUUCCAUUUUCUGUUUAUCCUCUGAACUUCUCCUGUCACCUUGAUCCUAGCUGCAGUCCUUCUGUCUUGGAUACCAUUGUUGUCUCUUUUUGGGCUCCCUUUGGAUUUGGACCUCGUUUAAGAUUAAUUAUGGGAAUGUCAGAAUUUCAGUUUAGGGGUGAAAUCCUACCAUUCAGACUUUUUCAGGGAUUUCUAAUUGAAGAAUGUGCACAUGAGAACAAUAACCAAAUGGAAAAUAAAAUACCUUUUUAUUAACUAAUAAAUAAGCACCCAAUUGUCUCCCAGUACAGAGAUCUUUGUUCAGCCAAAUCAGAUUAUGCUGUUUAGGCCUGGAAUCCUAAGGAAGUCUUCCAUCACUCAGGAGUGAUGGAAGGAUCUGGAACAGACCAGAUGCAAUUUAUACACAAAUGUAGAACAGAGAAUUGCCUGGCUCUGACCUAGUACACUGCACUAAGGGGACUGUAAUUGCAAAAGGGGGAACAUCAGCUUAGAGACUUGAUAUUCUAGUAAAACGUGCUUGGUAACUGCCCUGUGCUUUGAGCACUUGAGUAACUAAUUCUUUCUCCCUCAGGAAGAAGCUAGCAAGAAGGGUAGAGGGUGUGGGAGCAGCAGAAAUGCUCCUUCCCCUACAGUCCAAGACAGAAAUGGGAGGAGAGCUGGCUGGGAGUUCUCCAUCUCCUCCCCCUUACAUGACUAGCUCUUCGCUCUUCAGCUUGAAUGCCAUCUUCACUCCCCCCUUGCCCUUCAGUCCUCUCCCCAGGGUCACACCCACUCCACUCCAUGACAAACUGUCUCCAGAACUCCAGUCUAGGCCAGUCUUCUCACUCCACUACACCUGCUUACUAGAGAGGCAAGUUCAAAUUCUAGGCUUAUUACUGCACUUUUGUAUAAAGUCCUUUUUUUAAAAAAUGCAAAACUUCGUAUCUGUUAACACUGGUUUAUGGAUAAACUUCUUUUUGCCUACAGAUGGAUUUCUGAUCAAGUGGUCCAUCAUUGGCAAUUCUUGGCAAUCUGACCACAAGGAAUGGCCUAUAGCUAGAUUCUGCAGCUGAGCCGGGAUCUGCCUCUCCUUAACAUAUUUGGUAUAAAAUAACAAAAAGUCAUCUAGAAUAAUGAAAAGAAAUUUUGUGAACAAAAGGCCAUGAAGUGUUGCCCAUAAUAUAGACAGUGUGGGAAGAGAAACUUUGGUUGAGGCAAAAUCAAUAUUCUCCUGCUAGCUUCUUUCUGUCAACCUCUCCCACUGUCUCCCAAUUAUAUGCCAUCAUCUCCCCCAUUCACCUUCCCUUCUACUGGCCUGAAUAAGUGUGAAUAGUCACUGUUUAUGCCAUAAAUAUCAGCCUAUUUGGAUAUUUCUUUGUUAGUUAACAAAGAUCUUCUUCGCUUCCCACUCAUAGUGCUGUUUAUCGAAUAGUUCUGUCAACAAAAUUUUAGAAUAGAUGGAGUGCAAAAUGCUUCAAAACAUUCUCGUUACUGCAGAAACUUUACAAGAAAAAAAACUGAAGUGGUUAAAAGACUUAUAAGUAGUUUCAUAGACACUCCACCACAGAAGAUGGCCAAUAAGCACAGAAAAAGAUGCUCCAGACUAUCAGUCAUCAGGGAAAGGCAAAUUGAAACCAUAAUGAGAUACUACCACACUCCCUCUAGAAUGGCUAAACUUUUUUAACUGACCAUAUCAAGUGUUGGUGAGAGUGUGGAACAACUAGACUCUCUUGCACUCCUGGUGGUAAUGUAAAAUGGUAUAGCUACUUUGAAAAACAAGUAGGCAUCUUCUUGGAAAGUUAAAAAUACACCUAUUGUUUGAUGAGAUCCAGCCAUUCCACUUCUAGGUAUUUAUCCCAAGAAAAAUGAAAACAUAUGUCUACAAGGAGACUUGUACAUGGAUAUUUAUAGAGCUUUCUUUGUAAUAGUUAAAAACUGGAAACCACUCAAAUGUCCAUCAGCAACAAACGGAUAAGCACCCUGAGGAAUAUCCAUAUAACGGAAUACUACUCAGCAAUGAAAAGGAUGAAUCUCAAAAUAAUUAUACUGAGAGAAAGAAGCCAGACCAAAAAAAGAGUAUGUAUUGUAUGAUUCCAUUUAAAUAAAACUCUAGAAAAUUCAAACUAAUCCCUAUGGUGACAGGAAGCCAAUCAGUGUUGCUUGGAGGUGGGGUGGGGUAAGGUGGGGAGGAAGAGUUUAUAAACAUACAUAAAGAAACAUUUAGAAGUGAUGGAUAUGUUCAAUAUCUUGAUUGCAGUGAUGACUUGGUUUCAUGGAUGUAUACAACGUCAAAACAUCAAAUGUUGUACUUUACAAAUGUGCAGUUUAUUAUAAGUCAAUUAUAUCUUAAUAAAGUUGUUAUUUAAAAAAGACUUAAUAUAGUAGUUUUUGCACCAGCCAAAGAUGAAAGAACUGGCUUGCCUCUUUUCAUUAAGUUUCAAACUGCUCUCCGAAAGCUCUUUCUAGAGUGUAGGUCAGCAGGGAGGAGAGGUGAGUUGGCUGAGUUACCUACCACCCCACUGCGUUUUUACCUGUUAGUUUAUAGUUUCUCUAAAGACUUACUUCAAAAAAGGCCAGGUUUAAGGGGGAACAAAAAGAAAAAAAUGGAAAAGUCUUUAAAAUCUGCUAGGUCGUCUGAUCUCUAAUGCCUACUAGCUAUAACAUUUUAUGAAUCUAAAGUUCUAUAAAUGAGUUUGGUAAUAUACUGUCUCUUUGAUUGAAGAUGACCUCAUAUUAAAAGACACACCAUUAUCUCUAGGUUUUAACCGCUUUUUAGGAGGAACAAAAGCAGUAGCAGUAUAUUAAAAGCAUACAUUAUAAGAUUCACUCCAGGUUCAAAAACAUUAAAAAGUAUGAUUUAGAAUCGUCACUGUAGCACGUGGUCCCAGGGUUGGAGCAAGGGAUGUGCAGGG